GGAUUGUAGCUCAGCGGUAGAGUGCUCGCCUAGCAAGGACGGGACCUGGGUUCGAUCCUCAGCACCA
rnacentral:tRNA from 1 species